UACGGGGGGGGCAAGCGUUGUUCGGAAUUACUGGGCGUAAAGGGUGCGUAGGCGGUUGUUUAAGUCUGUCGUGAAAUCCCCGGGCUCAACCUGGGAAUGGCGAUGGAUACUGGGCAGCUAGAGUGUGUCAGAGGAUGGUGGAAUUCCCGGUGUAGCGGUGAAAUGCGUAGAUAUCUGGAGGAACACCAAUGGCGAAGGCAACUUCCUGGGGCAAUACUGACACUGAUGUGCGAAAGCGUGGGGAGCAAACAGG
rnacentral:rRNA from 1 species